CAGCAGUAUAUUUUGCAGACAUGGCCAAGAAUAAAUCAAAGGUACAAAAAAAGAAGGACGUGUUUCAAGUGGCCAAUAAGAAACAAAUGAAGGCUAAA